rnacentral:lncRNA from 1 species
GAAGGUUAUGGAGUAUAUAUACCGUCUCCCGUAAAUAAUUAAACUAGAGGUUUCCGAACUUGCUUCAAUUUGACAUCUACAAUACCAAACAAGAUUUAGAAGAACUUCGUCCGAAGCAAUUUACCAAUACACUGAAUUGUGGAUACGCACAACGGUGAAAAAAGAAAUAAACAAAAAACUCAAAUUUCUCAAAAUAAGCUUUGUAUCUAUAGCCAAUUUCCUGCUCUGCUUUAGAACCUCAGACCUUGCCCCGCCGCCUGCUUAGCAAUUCUACUUGAAUACUUUUCGGCUGAUAAUCUUGCUAACCCUGGAAGAAACUAUUAGCCAAGGUAUAAUCCCAACCUGAAGUUGUAAUAGACAAGUAAUCAGAAACCUCAUAAAGGUAA